rnacentral:rRNA from 1 species
GUAGGUGGCAGGCGUUGUCCGGAAUUAUUGGGCGUAAAGCGCGCGCAGGUGGUUCUUUAAGUCUGGUGUGAAAGCCCCCCGGGCUCAACCGGGGGAGGGUCAUUGGAAACUGGGGAACUUGAGUGCAGGAGAGGAAAGUGGAAUUCCACGUGUAGCGGUGAAAUGCGUAGAUAUGUGGAGGAACACCAGUGGCGAAGGCGACUUUCUGGCCUGUAACUGACACUGAGGCGCGAAAGCGUGGGGAGCAAACAGGAUUAGAUACCCUGGUAGUCCACGCCGUAAACGAUGAGUGCUAAGUGUUGGGGGGUUUCCGCCCCUCAGUGCUGCAGCUAACGCAUUAAGCACUCCGCCUGGGGAGUACGGUCGCAAAGACUGA